rnacentral:rRNA from 1 species
GAUGAACGCUAGCUACAGGCUUAACACAUGCAAGUCGAGGGGUCUUGUGGGGCUUGCUCCACGAGACGACCGGCGCACGGGUGAGUAACGCGUAUCCAACCUGCCCUUCAUAUUGGGAUAGACUUCCGAAAGGAAGAUUAAUACCGAAUAACAUAGAGAGAUUGCCUGAUUUCCCUAUGAAAGCACCGGCGACGAAGGAUGGGGAUGCGUUCCAUUAGGUAGUAGGCGGGGUAACGGCCCACCUAGCCGACGAUGGAUAGGGGUUCUGAGAGGAAGGUCCCCCACACUGGAACUGAGACACGGUCCAGACUCCUACGGGAGGCAGCAGUGGGGAAUAUUGGUCAAUGGGCGCAAGCCUGAACCAGCCAAGUAGCGUGAAGGAUGACUGCCCUAUGGGUUGUAAACUUCUUUUAUACGGGAACAAACCUUGGUACGCGUACCAAAUUGCGUGUACCGUAUGAAUAAGCACCGGCUAACUACGUGCCAGCAGCCGCCGUAAUAC